rnacentral:rRNA from 1 species
UAGUCCACGCCGUAAACGAUGAUUACUCGCUGUAGGCGAUACACAGUCUGUGGCUAAGCGAAAGUUUUAAGUAAUCCACCUGGGGAGUACGAUCGCAAGAUUGAAACUCAAAGGAAUUGACGGGGGCCCGCACAAGCGGAGGAACAUGUGGUUUAAUUCGAUGAUACGCGAGGAACCUUACCUGGACUUAAAUGUACGUUGCAUAGAUUGGAGACAGUCUUUUCUUCGGACUACGUACAAGGUGCUGCAUGGUUGUCGUCAGCUCGUGCCGUGAGGUGUCGGGUUAAGUCCCAUAACGAGCGCAACCCCUAUCCUUAGUUGCCAGCGGGUCAUGCCGGUGACAAACCGGAGGAAGGUGGGGACGACGUCAAGUCAUCAUGGCCCUUACGACCUGGGCUACACACGUGCUACAAUGGGGAGUACAAAGGGUUGCUAAGCCGCGAGGUGGAGCUAAUCCCAUAAAACUUCUCGUAGUCCGGAUUGGAGUCUGCAACUCGACUCCAUGAAGUCGGAAUCGCUAGUAA